rnacentral:tRNA from 1 species
GGUAGCAUGGCUUAUUGGAUAGAGCACGGGCUUGGGAGUCAGAAAGAACUGGGUUCUAAUCCCAGCUCUACCA